CCUGUUCAAGAGAAAAAAGAGGCUCCUCUGAGAUGAUGUACCGGACCCACCAGGCCACUGGGUUUCUGGGUCUGUGACAACUGAGCCCUCACAUUCAUCCAGGGCUGUGGUGGCUACUGUAUGAGAGAACAAGUGCUGCUGGAUGGUCACCAGCGCAUUAUACCCACGUUGGUCACUGCUGGGAUUCUAAACGCAACAGGAGCAAGUCCCGCUGGAGCAACACUUUGGGUGAAAGAAACGACACCCAGACCCAGCCACUCCAGCAUCAUGGAAUGCUUCCAGCCCUGGAAGCAAACCCAUUCACUAUCCUGAGGAAGGAAGAAUGACCAGUCAUGAGAAUUCGAUGACAACCAGUGUGAAGUAAAGUUCUCCUUGAUGGAUAGAAAGUAAUUUCCUUAAAAUUCAGAGGCUGCAAAUUGGCAACUGGAUCAUUUAACUAUGACUUGCAUAGAAUUUUAAAAAUAAAAAUUUCCUGCCUCUA